GAAUCCGCAGUGUGGCUGUGGAUGGAAACUGCUGCGAGUGUGGAGCGGGCAGAACACCGCUAAGCUGAUUACCAACAGCAUUUUGAACAAUUCAUUCAGAAGAAAGGACAGCCAGGGGCCUGAGGGAGGUGCUUCCCAGUGUUCUCAAAGAUGUUUAGAGCAGAAACAUGCUCUCCAGAAGCUGAGAACAGAUGAGAUGGCAGCGUGCUCUCUCUGGAAAGGGGAUUGACAGCUAUAUAGUCAUGAACCACAGCAUUCCCUGAGCAAAGAAAAGCCCGAACUGCUGCCUACAAAAAUCACUAAUAAAGUGGGGGACUUUAUUUUUUUAA